UACGAAGGGGGCUAGCGUUGCUCGGAUUGACUGGGCGUAAAGCGCGUGUAGGCGGGUCUUUAAGUCAGGGGUGAAAUGCCAAGGCUCAACCUUGGAACUGCCUUUGAUACUGGAGAUCUUGAGUCCGGGAGAGGUGAGUGGAAUUGCGAGUGUAGAGGUGAAAUUCGUAGAUAUUCGCAAGAACACCAGUGGCGAAGGCGGCUCACUGGCCCGGAACUGACGCUGAGACGCGAAAGCGUGGGGAGCAAACAGG
rnacentral:rRNA from 1 species